AAGAAGAAGGUCGUUUGCAAAUAGAUGCGAGGGUUGAUUUUGCUUCUUAUCGAAGGAAUCCUCGAUUGUUUAUACUUGCUGAUGUUUAAUAUAUGGACUUAAUUAUUCUAUGCGCAUUUAGAUAUUUUAUCAUAAUGACUAUUUGUUUUGUGACCUGCUACAAUGUAGUCCUGGAGUAUUGAGGUGUUUAUUUGUGUGUUACUGGAAGGUAUACACUUAAACGAGAGAUAAAAGUGCAGGUCGAUAUUCAAAGGUAAUAUGAAUUAUUAAACUGGUAAUAUGUCUUGCAAAUUUAUGUAGGUAAUUAUGUGGUUUCCCACGCGAAUUUUGAUAACAGUGCAUUCCUUUGUAAUGCAGGGUUUAAAAUAGACAUGUGUAAAAACAUCCAUGCUAGCAGUGUAGCAGACGAUUUCUGUAUACAAGGGGCGUGUUAUUCAUGUAGUCUGUUAAACUAUAUGUAGUAUAAACACGUGGAAGAGUCUAUUAUUCAUGAUACCUGUUUACAAACAGAGGGUUUAAGCAAUUUUAUCAGACUUAAUCUCGCUGAAAAGUAUUUUCUUCUAAAGUGAAGUAAUUAAACUUCCAUUUCACAUAUAAGUUAAAUUUUCAUGAGCACGGAUCAAGUAAUUAAAUGUGCAUGUGUGAGGAAAAUAAACAAUGUCACGAUCAACACGUCAAAAACCCAAGGAGUUCCGCAACACAGUCCAGAUGGUACAGCCACACCGCAACGCCACCCAGUCGUUUCAGCCCCGCAACCGGUGAAUCUGAAACCGCAACAACUUGUGGUUGUGGUGAGUCUUGUUGCAGAACACCAUUGUUCCGUGUUUGCGCAGCGAAGGAGCAUUUUGGCUGAUGAUUCGCUGCACUGUCAGACAGUGUUGAACAAAAUGACUACCACCUUUGGCUAGUGCUGCAGUUGCCCAAUCAUCAAGAAACGUGGACAAAGAUGUUACUAUAUUCAGUUUACCAGAAACAAAUCACCUCCGAUCACAUAAAGAAGAACAUGGAAUUCGUCGGUCUGAGCGACAGAAGAAGUAUAGUGCUAAAUCUGUUGAAAUUUGAGGAAUUACUGGUGAAUCUCUUGAUACCGCUAGAACAACCAGUAAAUCUGUCUGUAAAUCUGUAGACACUGCUAGAAGUACCGAUAAAUCUGUUGACACUACUAGUACUAGAGCUACCAGUAAAUCUGUUGACACUGCUGCAACUACCGGUAAAUCAGUUGACACUGCUACAACUUCCCAAGGAUUGACAUUUAAAAGAAAAUAGACAUUUGUUGGAAAGCGAAUUCAGCAUGAAUGGGUAGUGAAUGAGGAUACUGGGGAAAAGCAGUGGUACAAUGGAACUGUUCUCAGAAUAGUUAA
rnacentral:lncRNA from 1 species